GAUAAACGCUGGCGGCGUGCCUAACACAUGCAAGUCGAACGUCCUUCUUCGCAAGAGGAAGGGAGUGGCGGACGGGUGAGUAACACGUGGGUUAUCUGCCCCAAAGUGAGGAAUACCGGCGAGAAAUCGCCGACAAGACCGCAUAGCCUUCGCAAGAAGGAAAGCUCUCUUUCGGGAGGGCGCUUUGGGAGGAGCCUGCGGCAGAUUAGCUGGUUGGUGGGGUAAAGGCCCACCAAGGCGAAGACGGGUAGCUGGCCUGAGAGGGUGGACAGCCACA
rnacentral:rRNA from 1 species